GAUGAACGCUGGCGGCGUGCCUAAUACAUGCAAGUCGAGCGAACAGACGAGGAGCUUGCUCCUCUGACGUUAGCGGCGGACGGGUGAGUAACACGUGGAUAACCUACCUAUAAGACUGGGAUAACUUCGGGAAACCGGAGCUAAUACCGGAUAAUAUAUUGAACCGCAUGGUUCAAUAGUGAAAGACGGUUUUGCUGUCACUUAUAGAUGGAUCCGCGCCGCAUUAGCUAGUUGGUAAGGUAACGGCUUACCAAGGCAACGAUGCGUAGCCGACCUGAGAGGGUGAUGGGCCACACGGGAACUGAGACACGGUCCAGACUCCGACGGGAGGAAGCAGUGGGGAAUAGUGGACAAUGGGCGAAAGCCUGAGGGAGCAACGCCGCGUGUGGGAAGAAGGUCUUCGGAUCGUAAAGCUCUUUUAUGAGGGAAGAAAAAAUGUAAAAUAAAAUAUGCCCGUUUGGACGGUACCUAAAAAAAAAGCCACGGCUAACUACGUG
rnacentral:rRNA from 1 species